GAUGAACGCUGGCGGCGUGCCUAAUACAUGCAAGUCGAGCGAACGGACGAGAAGCUUGCUUUUCUGAUGUUAGCGGCGGACGGGUGAGUAACACGUGGAUCACCUACCUAUAAGACUGGGAUAACUUCGGGAAACCGGCUCUAAUACCGGAUCAUAUUUUGAACCGCAUGGUUCAAAAGUAAAAGACGGUUUUGCCGUCACUUAUAGAUGGAUCCGUGGUGCAUUAGCUAGUUGGUAAGGUAACGGCAUACCAAGGCAACGAUGCAUAGCCGACCUGAGAGGGUGAUCGGCCACACUGGAACUGAGACACGGUCCAGACUCCUACGGGAGGCAGCAGUGGGGAAUCUUCCGCAAUGGGCGAAAGCCUGACGGAGCAACGCCGCGUGAGUGAUGAAGGUCUUCGGAUCGUAAAACUCUGUUAUUGGGGAAGAACAUAUGUAUAAGUAACUGUGCACAUCUUGACGGUACCUAAUCAGAAAGCCACGGCUAACUACGUG
rnacentral:rRNA from 1 species